UUUCCGUAGGUGAACCUGCGGAAGGAUCAUUAUAAGAGUUUUGGAUACUGCGCUCCUCUUCGCGAGGAGCCGUUGCUCUUCGGAGGUGGUGUCAAUAAACAUUGCACACUGUGAACGGUUGGGCUACUAGCCUACUUUUUUCAUUUACUCUUGUCAUGAACGUCAAAUACUAUAAUAUAAAGAAAACUUUCAACAACGGAUCUCUUGGCUCUCGCAUCGAUGAAGAACGAGC
rnacentral:misc_RNA from 1 species